ACGAAGGUUGGCGGAAGCACGUUCCGCUGACUUCUGGAAGUGUUGCUAUGAUUUGUGUGGGUGUUAUGAAGGUGCUGUGUUCUGUCUCACGGUGGACAGGUCGAACGCCGAGCGAGGAGGGAGCAGCAACGCAAGCAGUGGCCGGCCGAACACGAGUCCGCCGACCUCGAAUUCGUUGCCAAGCGGCGGGUACAAGCUCAACAAGUCAAGAAAACAACGUGGGCUACGCGUUCCCCGGAGACACCCGAGGAAUGUGCUAGUCAGCUUGCGACAAUGCGGGCGCAUCAGGCAAGACGCCGUAGCUUAGAAACGCCUCAGCAGUGUGACGCCCGUUUGGAAACCAAGCGCAGUGUCCUGCGUGGAGCCUGGAAGCGCAACACCGAACAAAAUGACAGGCUUCACGCAGGCGGCACCAAAAUUUUAGCAGCGUUUUCAGCAAUAAUCUGUUUCAGUACGUGUGCAGUGUGUGAUUGACUCUGGCAUCUGCGAGACAUCGUUUCCGUCCACGGUUUGGGUUUUCGUGCUCGAACAAGAGAUUCCCGAGGCUAACGUAACAACCCUCCAGGUUUGCAACCCCUGUCAAUAAUUGCUCCAGAAAGGUCAGGUCCCGUCUUUCUCCGCUUCCCACUGGUUUGUGUCUCCGCCCAAGCCGCGUCACUUUUCCAAGCUCAACUCCGUUGCGGAGCCACUGAUCCAGGCCACGGAGCCCUGGACCCCGUUUAUUCAAAUUGGGCGGCUUCUCUACAAAAUCGCAGAUAUGGCAUUCGAUGGCCGCUUGCGAAUGUGGCCGUGGAAACUGACACCAUGCUCUGUGCAAUCCCUCGGAAUAUUCAGGACGACAAUGCCAUCCUGCUUAACAUAAAUAGGCGGGUGAUGCAUCCGCAUGUGCACCUGUCUGGUUUGGUAUCUGAUCCCUUGGCUGGAGUACUUGAAGGACACACCGCUUUACAAGUGCAAUGGCAUCAAGUGUGACUUGAAGCAUACCGCCCAGAUGUGUGACAAGGUGCCUGCUGCGCAGGAAGCUGACAAUGUAGAAGUCCUCGAGGACUGUUCCGAGAUGUCGAGCCCAGUGAUAACCAAUGCAGCCUAUAGUUGGACUAAGAAACUGUCAUCUAUCAUGAGAAUAACGUACUUGUGAUGGCGUCGGGAGAAGGACGAAAACCGUUAUAUUCCAUCUGCCUGGAAGCAAGCCGUCAUAAUUCCUCUUCUCAAAGAGGGCAGGGAUCCGACCUCGGCCAGCAGCUACAGGCCUAUAGCCCUGACAAGCUGCCUAUGCAAACUGAGAAAAUGGGCUCCACUGGGAUCGCGGCUCGCCGGGCCUGGUCGAGGGUCCCCAGUUGGCUUCCCAGGUCCAGUUCGGAGAGUCUCGCCCCCCAAGA